rnacentral:rRNA from 1 species
GAUGAACGCUGGCGGCGUGCCUAAUACAUGCAAGUCGAGCGAACAGACGAGGAGCUUGCUCCUCUGACGUUAGCGGCGGACGGGUGAGUAACACGUGGAAACCUACCUAUAAGACUGGGAUAACUUCGGGAAACCGGAGCUAAUACCGGAUAAUAUAUUGAACCGCCUGGUUCAAUAGUGAAAGACGGUUUUGCUGUCACUUAUAGAUGGAUCCGCGCCGCAUUAGCUAGUUGGUAAGGUAACGGCUUACCAAGGCAACGAUGCGUAGCCGACCUGAGAGGGUGAUCGGCCACACUGGAACUGAGACACGGUCCAGACUCCUACGGGAGGCAGCAGUAGGGAAUCUUCCGCAAUGGGCGAAAGCCUGACGGAGCAACGCCGCGUGAGUGAUGAAGGUCUUCGGAUCGUAAAACUCUGUUAUUAGGGAAGAACAAAUGUGUAAGUAACUAUGCACGUCUUGACGGUACCUAAUCAGAAAGCCACGGCUAACUACGUG